GACAUAGGUGGCAAGCGUUAUUCGGAAUUACUAGGCGUAAAGCGUGCGCAGGCGGUUAUGUAAGACAGAUGUGAAAUCCCCGGGCUUAACCUGGGAACUGCAUUUGUGACUGCAUAGCUAGAGUACGGUAGAGGGGGAUGGAAUUCCGCGUGUAGCAGUGAAAUGCGUAGAUAUGCGGAGGAACACCAAUGGCGAAGGCAAUCCCCUGGGCCUGCACUGACGCUCAUGCACGAAAGCGUGGGGAGCAAACAGGAUUAGAUACCCGGGUAGU
rnacentral:rRNA from 1 species